UACAGAGGGGGCAAGCGUUGUUCGGAAUUACUGGGCGUAAAGGGCGCGUAGGCGGCCUGUUAAGUCGAACGUGAAAUCCCCGGGCUCAACCCGGGAACUGCGUCUGAUACUGGAUGGCUUGAGGUUGGGAGAGGGAUGCGGAAUUCCAGGUGUAGCGGUGAAAUGCGUAGAUAUCUGGAGGAACACCGGUGGCGAAGGCGGCAUCCUGGACCAAUUCUGACGCUGAGGAGCGAAAGCCAGGGGAGCAAACGGG
rnacentral:rRNA from 1 species